rfam:Trachipleistophora hominis chromosome Tnknown scaffold00143, whole genome shotgun sequence.
UCCGUGAUGGUCCAGUGGUUAGGAUUACGGUCUCUCACACCGUAGGCCCGAGUUCGAUUCUCGGUCACGGAA